AGCACACCUAAGUGACUGUCCUGAACUCGACAUGGCUCUCUAGCUCAUAUCACAGCUGCUGACUGAUGAGUUAAGAGAGCAGGUUCGCGGGAAUCACUAUAAUUUCGUAAUGCUGGACUGUUGCACUUUUGACUAAUCACUAAUCAUCACUGCUCUUCCAUGACCAAUCACUGAUCAUUACUGUCUGUCCUAACCUUGCACUUCUUCUUUUUAAUACUCAGUAGACAGUAGCUAAUAAAGGCAUCUCAGGCAUCAUUGGGCAUCAAGGCAGGAUACACCCUGGACGGAGUGCCAACCCAUCGCAGGGCACACACACACUUAUUCACACACUACGGGCAAUUUAGAGACUCCAAUCAGCCUAGAAGCAUGUCUUUGGACUGUGAGAGGAAACUGGCGCACCCAGAGGAAACCCACCAAGCACAGGGAGAACAUGCAAACUCCACACACACAGUGGGCGGGAGAGAGAGACUCGAACCCAGGACGCGUGAGGUGAGCAUGCUAACCACUAAGCCACCGUGCCGCCUUCACAGUAUUAUAUAACACAAUUUUCGGCAGAUGGUCAUAAUGUUAUGCCUGAUCAGUGCAUCCUUCGAUUAUAUCCUUCUUCAGAUACCCUAGUUGGUCAUUUGAUGUGUUUUAUGUGCUAAUGAUAACUAAAUUAAUAUGCAAAUGAAUUUAUGACAUCAUAUAUGCUCUGAAAAGAAUUGUGUGUGUGUGUGUGUGUGUGUGUGUGUUGCCCUGAGAUGGACUGGUAUCCCAUGCAGGUUGUAUUCCCAAAUCUCACCCAGUGAUCCCGGGACAGGCUCGGAUCCACAUGGGUACUUUUGAGGUUAUGGUUUCAGAUGUACUCAAUAUUUUUCUUGGGACAUUCAUUAAUAAUUAAGGAAUGCACAAGCUUCAUCCAAUCACAGAGCUCCAAAUCUCUGCCUUGCUUACAGCUGACAGACCUUUCUUAAAAUAUAAACAUGUCAGUACAUUGCUUUCCAACGCGUUUCUAUAAUAACUGAAUAAUAAGAACAGAAAUCCUGAUCUCCAUUCCCUUCAUUCCCUUUAUUAAGACUCCACACAGUUUGUGAAGCUUAUUCUCUGAUUUUUUUUCCCUCUGGUUAAAUACUCAGUGUGAACCAUCAGCAGCACGCGCGCGCCGGAGACGUUACUUAUAUUGACUUGGCCGCGUCCCAAACCGCAUACCGUCUUAAUUAGUGUGUCAAAUUUGCACAUUAUUACUUAUAUCGUCACUAUUUUUGACACACUGUUUAGUAAGUAACGUGCGGUUUUGGCCCUAGUUUUCCGUAUGCUUUGAAGUGACAGGUGGAUUGUUGCUCUGUGGUUGGAUGAGUCGCGCGAGACUUGUGUUUUUGCGAUUGGACGAACACGCACGCGCCUGUACAACACGCACGAGCUUUCUGCUAGGGUGUUGGUGACGUAAACCGAGAAAUAGCUCGAGGCGCAACGUUUGUAUUUCGAUGUACAGAAAAGCCAAUUAGCUAAACUGUUCACUCAUUUUUACCAGAGAAAUAUCAUUUAUACGGAAACUAUUGCGUUAUGGUUUCUAAAGAAAAAUCUUGUUUGCAACGACAAAAGGGAACGAACGAGAAAUGUAAAAGGAAUUCCGGACGGAAAUUAAAAACAAAGAUGGCGGCUUGUAAAUAUUUUCCGUCGUUGUCAAUUAGUCCAGAAAUUUCUGUGACUGGACAAAGAGACGCAAAACAAAGCUUCGGGUUUAGUUCUUCAUUAAAAAUGAAAGAAAAGACUUCUCAGAGGAAUGAUACACUGGUCUCAACUCACAAGAAAAUACAACAGAGUAAAGAUACCUCUGUCUAUACACAAGAUGCUGGGCCCUGUCAUUUCCAGGAUGAAGAAAAUGCAUAAGGACCACUGAAGAAUGCCCCAGCAGGUAGAAAAGAGAAACAAACUCAGUGUGAAGUGAAACAGAGUGUGCUGAAGACAAUAUCCAGGAUGCUGGAGGAGAACAGGAUCAUCAGAGAGCAGUGGAGCAGUUUAUGAGGUGAACCUUACAUAUUAAAUGACACAAAUCCAAAUCUUUAUAUAACCAACUAUACAAGUGGAAGCAUUGCAGUAUGCCGGAAUUGCAAACAAUUGCAAAAGAAAAUGUAAGCCCACACUCUGCAUGAUAUAAAAAGCAGAACGCUUUGGACCUUUCCAUGCAACUGCGUUGGGAAAUUGGUGUCAA